GACCGUCGGAACGUCGUGCAACGGGACUGCUGCUGGAUCCUGGUGAACUGUCCUUCCCAAAGAGUACUCUGCCAUUGCAGUGAACUGGACUGAACAUCCUGAGAGAAACCUAGCAAGACUUUCUGCUGUGGAACACAGGAUUGAUACAUGCAACACUCAUCCCUCUCCUGCUACUCGAGGAAAUCCAAGGAUGUUAUCAUGUUGCACAUCAUAUCCAUCCUUGGAUCUAUUCAAGAUGUGAGCAAUUUGGUCUGCUCCCAUUGCUGACCAACUUUCAGGAGGUUGGAAAACAAAGCUCCUUAGCUAUCUUUCACUUUGAGUUAUGCCAUGAACUUCCGAAUUUUUAGGAUGAAAGCUUGUUCUGUUUUCAAGUGGCAUCUUGAUCACUUCUACUGGAUUCUCCUGGUCCCACUAGACAUUUUACCUACUUUUUCUCCAUCACGUGCUCUUGUUUCACAAAUUCUACUACUUACAUGUGUUCUCCUGUGCCCUACUUGUGGAAAUGCAGAACAAGGUCAUUUACAUUUUGGUGGUUUCAUACUAUACAUAUUUCUACUUAGAUCACAUGAAGUUAUCCAGAAAUGACUUUGUUUAAGGAUCCAAACUGUAAACCACUGAUUUUUCUUUGCAGAAGUGAAGAAACAGAUUCCACUUUAGAAGAACACGUGUCAGGUACUUGUGCUCACAGAUUCUUAUGCUUUGGCAAAUUUUGUAGUAUUUUCUGGAUAAUUUUUAUCAAAGCAGAAGGGAACUGUGGGUAUUUUUAGAGAGGUUUGGGCUUUUUUUUUUUUUUUUUUCUUCUUUCAAUCUCCCCAAAUCCAGUGGAAAUAUGUAACACAAACUUGGUUUCACUUAUAAUUUCUGAGAGCAACCCAUUGUUAAUAAACACCUUAACCAGCCUGUGACUGUUCACUCAACACGUGCUCAGAUUUUGGAUAACCCACAGCUGUAAGUCUAAGGCCAUGUGUAUGCUGGCAGCAGCAUCACUCAGUCAAAGUGAGAGCAACGCAUGAGCAGGACACAAUGGACAGGAAAGGCCAAAGGUCAUUAAGCACCUGUUACCACCUGCAUCUCAAUGUCUCCUGCAGCCAUUACCCUCAAAUGGAUUAUCUGGCAGCUUCUUCAGGGUAUAGUGACUCAUGGACAUGGUGUAGACCAUGUCUGUCCAACCUUCUGGCUUACCUGGGCUGCACUGAGUGAAAAGGAAUUGUCUUGGACUGUGUACAAAAUAUAUAAUAUAGUUAAUGUCUAUAAGUAACAAAACUUCUUUUAUUUUUUAAUAUUUUUAAUUAAAACAAACAAACAAACAAACAAAGAUAACAAUAAAGACAUAAAACUAGUGAGAUAUUUGAGUUUGUUUUUGUUAAACUAAUGUACCAGUCUGGUUCAGUGGAAGUGGUUGAAGUUUUUAGUCAGUUCUCAAGGUGUUCAUCAAAGAUUUUUGAUGAAAAUUUACUCUUCCUGUGCUGCAUCCUCGAAAAUCUUUGUUCAUAGGCAUGAUUGUGAAGUGAGUGAUAUUUUUCUCUGGUAAGAUAGUUCUUGUAAAGAGACAUAAUCAGAUUUUUUAGUUCAAUAUAUGAUUACAACUCUAUACAUUCCAUUUGAAAAUUUGCAUGUAAUGUGUUUAUGUUGACUGAGAAUGGAGUCGCAAAUAUACAAAAUAAAAGAUUAUUUCUUUGGCAAUCU
ensembl:lncRNA